rnacentral:rRNA from 1 species
AACGAACGCUGGCGGCAGGCCUAACACAUGCAAGUCGAACGCCCUAGCAAUAGGGAGUGGCAGACGGGUGAGUAACACGUGGGAACCCUCCCUAUAGUACGGAAUAUACCAGGGAAACUUGGAGCAAUACCGUAUACGCCCGAGAGGGGAAAGAUUUAUCGCUAUAGGAUGGGCCCGCGUAGGAUUAGCUAGUUGGUGAGGUAAUGGCUCACCAAGGCGACGACCCUUAGCUGGUUUGAGAGAACGACCAGCCACACUGGGACUGAGACACGGCCCAGACUCCUACGGGAGGCAGCAGUGGGGAAUAUUGGACAAUGGGCGCAAGCCUGAUCCAGCCAUGCCGCGUGAGUGAUGAAGGCCUUAGGGUUGUAAAGCUC